UACGAGUAUGAGAGUUUGAUCCUGGCUCAGAGCGAACGCUGGCGGCAGGCCUAACACAUGCAAGUCGAACGAUCCUUCGGGAUAGUGGCGGACGGGUGAGUAACACGUGGGAACGUGCCUUUUGGUUCGGAAUAACGCAGGGAAACUUGCGCUAAUACCGGAUGAGCCCUACGGGGGAAAGAUUUAUCGCUGAAAGAGCGGCCCGCGUUAGAUUAGCUAGUUGGUGGGGUAAAGGCCCACCAAGGCUACGAUCUAUAGCUGGUCUGAGAGGAUGAUCAGCCACACUGGGACUGAGACACGGCCCAGACUCCUACGGGAGGCAGCAGUGGGGAAUCUUGCGCAAUGGGCGAAAGCCUGACGCAGCCAUGCCGCGUGAAUGAUGAAGGUCUUAGGAUUGUAAAAUUCUUUUAGCAGGGACGAUAAUGACGGUACCUGCAGAAAAAGCCCCGGCUAACUUCGUGCCAGCAGCCGCGGUA
rnacentral:rRNA from 1 species